rnacentral:rRNA from 1 species
GACGAACGCUGGCGGCGUGCUUAACACAUGCAAGUCGAACGGAAAGGCCCUGCUUUUGUGGGGUGCUCGAGUGGCGAACGGGUGAGUAACACGUGAGUAACCUGCCCUUGACUUUGGGAUAACUUCAGGAAACUGGGGCUAAUACCGGAUAGGAGCUCCUGCUGCAUGGUGGGGGUUGGAAAGUUUCGGCGGUUGGGGAUGGACUCGCGGGUUAUCAGCUUGUUGGUGGGGUAGUGGCUUGCCAAGGCUUUGACGGGUAGCCGGCCUGAGAGGGUGACCGGCCACAAUGGGACUGAGAUACGGACCAGACUCCUACGGGAGGCAGCAGUGGGGAAUAUUGCACAAUGGGCGGAAGCCUGAUGCAGCAACGCCGCGUGCGGGAUGACGGCCUUCGGGUUGUAAACCGCUUUCGCCUGUGACGAAGCGUGAGUGACGGUAAUGGGUAAAGAAGCACCGGCUAACUACGUG